GACGUUACUAACGACGAUAUGCUUUGGGGAGCUGUAAGUAAGCUUUGAUCCAGAGAUUUCCGAAUGGGGAAACCCAGCAUGAGUUAUGUCAUGUUAUCGAUAUGUGAAUACAUAGCAUAUCAGAAGGCACACCCGGAGAACUGAAACAUCUUAGUACCCGGAGGAAGAGAAAGAAAAUUCGAUUCCCUUAGUAGCGGCGAGCGAAACGGGAAGAGCCCAAACCAAAAAGCUUGCUUGUUGGGGUUGUAGGACACUCUAUACGGAGUUACAAAGGACGACAUUAGACGAAUCAUCUGGAAAGAUGAAUCAAAGAAGGUAAUAAUCCUGUAGUCGAAAAUGUUGUCUCUCUUGAGUGGAUCCUGAGUACGACGGAGCACGUGAAAUUCCGUCGGAAUCUGGGAGGACCAUCUCCUAAGGCUAAAUACUCUCUAGUGACCGAUAGUGAACCAGUACCGUGAGGGAAAGGUGAAAAGCACCCCGGAAGGAGAGUGAAAUAGAACCUGAAACCGUGUGCUUACAAGUAGUCAGAGCCCGUUAAUGGGUGAUGGCGUGCCUUUUGUAGAAUGAACCGGCGAGUUACGAUUUGAUGCAAGGUUAAGCAGUAAAUGUGGAGCCGUAGCGAAAGCGAGUCUGAAUAGGGCGUUUAGUAUUUGGUCGUAGACCCGAAACCAGGUGAUCUACCCUUGGUCAGGUUGAAGUUCAGGUAACACUGAAUGGAGGACCGAACCGACUUACGUUGAAAAGUGAGCGGAUGAACUGAGGGUAGCGGAGAAAUUCCAAUCGAACCUGGAGAUAGCUGGUUCUCUCCGAAAUAGCUUUAGGGCUAGCCUCAAGUGAUGAUUAUUGGAGGUAGAGCACUGUUUGGACGAGGGGCCCCUCUCGGGUUACCGAAUUCAGACAAACUCCGAAUGCCAAUUAAUUUAACUUGGGAGUCAGAACAUGGGUGAUAAGGUCCGUGUUCGAAAGGGAAACAGCCCAGACCACCAGCUAAGGUCCCAAAAUAUAUGUUAAGUGGAAAAGGAUGUGGCGUUGCCCAGACAACUAGGAUGUUGGCUUAGAAGCAGCCAUCAUUUAAAGAGUGCGUAAUAGCUCACUAGUCGAGUGACACUGCGCCGAAAAUGUACCGGGGCUAAACAUAUUACCGAAGCUGUGGAUUGUCCUUUGGACAAUG
rnacentral:rRNA from 1 species